UAGGGAAUCUCCGGCAAUGGGGGCAACCCUGACCGAGCAACGCCGCGUGAGUGAAGAAGGUUCUCGGAUCGUAAAGCUCUGUUGUAAGAGAAGAACGCGUGUGAGAGUGGAAAGUUCAUACAGUGAUGGUAACUUACCAGAAAGGGACGGCUAACUACGUGCCAGCAGCCGCGGUAAUACGUUGGUCCCGAGCGUUGUCCGGAGUUAUUGGGCGUAAAGCGAGCGCAGGCGGUUUAAUAAGUCUGAAGUUAAAGGCAGGCGCUUAACCAUUAUUCGAUUUGGAGACUGUUAAACUUGAGUGCAGAAGAGGGGAGUGGAAUUCCAUGUGUAGCGGUGAGAUGCGUAGAUAUAUGGAGAAACACCGGUGGCGAAAGCGGCUCUCUGGUCUGUGACUGACGCUGAGGCUCGAAAGCGUGGGGAGCAAACAGG
rnacentral:rRNA from 1 species